rnacentral:rRNA from 1 species
UACGUAGGGGGCUAGCGUUGUCCGGAUUUAUUGGGCGUAAAGAGCGUGUAGGCGGCCAGGUAGGUCUGGUGUGAAAACUCGAGGCUUAACCUCGAGAUGUCAUCGGAAACCAUCUGGCUAGAGUCCGGAAGAGGAGAGUGGAAUUCCUGGUGUAGCGGUGAAAUGCGCAGAUAUCAGGAAGAACACCAAUGGCGAAAGCAGCUCUCUGGGACGGUACUGACGCUGAGACGCGAAAGCGUGGGGAUCAAACAGG